UAUCUCGGUGUCGAGAACUCAAGAGCCUGCCGAGCAGCAUUCAUAUGGGAUCUCUUCAAACCCUUAAUCUUUCUGGUUGCUCAAACCUGGAGCAGUUUCCAGAUAUUUCAGGUGUUAUGGAGAAGCUAUCAGAGCUUUAUUUAAACGAGACUGCAAUUAAAGAACUGCCUUCGUCAAUUAAUAAACUCACAGGCCUCACUGUUUUGGACCUAUCUCGGUGUCGAGAACUCAAGAGCCUGCCGAGCAGCAUUCAUAUGGGAUCUCUUCAAACCCUUAAUCUUUCUGGUUGCUCAAACCUGGAGCAGUUUCCAGAUAUUUCGGGUGUUAUGGAGAAGCUAUCAGAGCUUUAUUUAGACGAGACUGCAAUUAAAGAACUGCCUUCGUCAAUUAAUAAACUCACGAGCCUUACUAUUUUGGUCCUAAGAGGCUGUCGAGAACUCAAGAGCAUGCCAAGCAGCAUUCAUAUGGGAUCUCUUCAAACCCUUAAUCUUUCUGGUUGCUCAAACCUGGAGCAGUUUCCAGAUAUUUCAGGUGUUAUGGAGAAGCUAUCAGAGCUUUAUUUAGACGAGACUGCAAUUAAAGAACUGCCUUCGUCAAUUAAUAAACUCACAGGCCUCACUGUUUUGGACCUAUCUCGGUGUCGAGAACUCAAGAGCCUGCCGAGCAGCAUUCAUAUGGGAUCUCUUCAAACCCUUAAACUUUUUGGUUGCUCAAACUUUGAGAAGUUUCCAGAUAUUUCAGAUGUUAUGGGGAAGCUAUCAAAGCUUUAUUUAGGUGGGACUGCCAUUAAAGAACUGCAUUCGUCAAUUAAUAAACUCACGGGCCUUACUGUUUUGAACCUAAGAGGCUGUCGAGAACUCAAGAGCCUGCCGAGCAGCAUUCAUGUAGGAUCUCUUCAAACCAUUAUUCUUUCGGGCUGCUCAAUGCUUGAGAAGUUUCCAGAUAUUUCAGAUGUUAUGGAGAAGCUAUCAGAGCUUCAUUUAGAUGGGACUGCUAUUAAAGAACUGCAUUCAUCAAUUAAUAAACUCACGGGCCUUACUAUUUUGAACCUAAGAGGCUGUCAAGAACUCAAGAGCCUGCAGAGCAGUAUUCAUAUCGGAUCUCUUCAAACCCUUAAUCUUUCUGGUUGCUCAAACCUUGAGAAGUUUCCAGAGAUUUCAGAUGCUAUGGAGAAUCUAUCAGAGUUAUAUUUAGAUGGGACUGCCAUUAAAGAACUGCCUUCAUCAAUUAAUAAACUCACGGGCCUUACUGAUUUGAACCUAUCUUGGUGUCAAGAACUCAAGAGCCUGCCGAGCAGCAUUCAUAUGGGAUCUCUUCAAACCCUUAUUCUUUCGGGUUGCUCAAUGCUUGAGAAGUUUCCAGAUAUUUCAGAUGUUAUGGAGAAUCUAUCAGAGUUAUAUUUAGAUGGGACUGCCAUUAAAGAACUGCCUUCGUCAAUUACUAAACUCACGGGCCUUACUGUUUUGAACCUAUCUGGGUGUCAAGAACUCAAGAGCCUGCCGAGUAGCAUUCAUAUGGGAUCUCUUCGAACCCUUAUUCUUUCGGGUUGCUCAAUGCUUGAGAAGUUUCCAGAUAUUUCAGAUGUUGUGGAGAAGCUAUCAAGGUUAUAUUUAGAUGGGACUGCCAUUCAAGAACUGCCUUCGUCAAUUAAUAAACUCACGGGCCUUACUGUUUUGGACCUAUCUGGGUGUCAAGAACUCAAGAGCCUGCCGAGCAGCAUUCAUA
rnacentral:lncRNA from 1 species